rnacentral:rRNA from 1 species
CCUACGGGCGGGCAGCAGUGGGGCAUAUUGUACAAUGGGGGGAACCCUGAUGCAGCGACGCCGCGUGAGUGAAGAAGUAUUUCGGUAUGUAAAGCUCUAUCAGCAGGGAAGAAAAUGACGGUACCUGACUAAGAAGCCCCGGCUAACUACGUGCCAGUAGCCGCGGUAAUACGUAGGGGGCAAGCGUUAUCCGGAUUUACUGGGUGUAAAGGGAGCGUAGACGGUUAUGCAAGUCUGAGGUGAAAGCCCAAGGCUCAACCCUGGGACUGCUUUGGAAACUGUGGAGCUAGAGUGCUGGAGAGGUAAGUGGAAUUCCGAGUGUAGCGGUGAAAUGCGUAGAGAUUAGGAGGAACACCAGUGGCGAAGGCGGCUUACUGGACAGUAACUGACGUUGAGGCUCGAAAGCGUGGGGAGCAAACAGGAUUAGAUACCCGUGUAGUC